UUGGUUACAAUUCUAAAUAAGUGCUUUAUAAUAUCUGAGGUACACUUCUGUUCGGGUCCAACAGACUCCACUAAAUCAACCUCUUGCUCUAUUCAAUUAAUGUUCCCCUCUGCAGCCUGCCUUUGAGAGGACUACAAGGAGGGAGAUUUGGGUAUAAAAACACAGAAGAUCUGCCUGGCACCUCUUUUGGACUCUAACUCAGGUGCCCAAAGAUAGAUUGCUCACCCCCCGCUCCAAGUUUGAGACAGCAAGUGAAAAUAGCUUCAAUCCACCACUGCUCUCUCUUCACAGUUGAGACAAAAUGUCCUCCCAUCUCCUUUUGGCCCCAAAUCCCAGGAAUUUCCCUCUGCAAUAAUGGAGACUAUCAAGACCCCAGACUGGGAGGGACUCAGAGGAGCUGCCUGCGACCCUGCCCGAGACCUCAGUGAAGACGUUGGACAGACGGACCAGAGAGGACAUCGAGGAACUUCCAGUGGCCUUGACAGAGCCUUGACUUGGAAGCCGGACGGACAGGCUCCUGACAGUCUGGGCUUGAAAUAUGGUGUAGUUGGGCCCUGACUCUCAAAAUACAAGCCCUACAGUUUUCUGUACAGUCUGUCUUUGUCUCUCCCCUGUCUUUUUGUUCUGGAGGAGGGCCUGAGCGGUUCACUGUGCAGUUGCUUAUUCCAGACACUCCUUUAAAAUAAAGGAAAAUGAGGAUG